UACGGAGGGGGCUAGCGUUGUUCGGAAUUACUGGGCGUAAAGCGCACGUAGGCGGACUGUUAAGUCGGGGGUGAAAUCCUGGGGCUCAACCUCAGAAUUGCCUCCGAUACUGGCAGUCUCGAGUGCGGGAGAGGUGAGUGGAAUUCCCAGUGUAGAGGUGAAAUUCGUAGAUAUUGGGAAGAACACCAGUGGCGAAGGCGGCUCACCUGGCCCGUAACUGACGCUGAGGUGCGAAAGCGUGGGGAGCAAACAGG
rnacentral:rRNA from 1 species